GAUUCUGGCUCAGGAUGAACGCUAGCGGCAGGCCUAACACAUGCAAGUCGAGGGGCAGCAGGGGGUAGCAAUACCCCGCUGGCGACCGGCGGACGGGUGCGUAACGCGUAUGCAACCUACCCGUAACAGGGGGAAUAACGGAGGGAAACCUCCACUAAUGCCCCAUAUAGUCAGGGGACCGCAUGGUUUCGUGACGAAAGCUUCGGUGGUUACGGACGGGCAUGCGUGGCAUUAGGCGGUUGGCGGGGUAACGGCCCACCAAACCUACGAUGCCUAGGGGAGCUGAGAGGCUAAUCCCCCACACUGGUACUGAGACACGGACCAGACUCCUACGGGAGGCAGCAGUGAGGAAUAUUGGUCAAUGGACGGAAGUCUGAACCAGCCAUGCCGCGUGAAGGAAGACGGCCCUAUGGGUUGUAAACUUCUUUUAGCCGGGAGUAAUAAGGCGCACGUGCUGCGCCGAUGAAAGUACCGGCGGAAUAAGCAUCGGCUAACUCCGUGCCAGCAGCGGC
rnacentral:rRNA from 1 species